rnacentral:lncRNA from 1 species
AAAUUUAAACAUUAGUGCCUAAAUUGAAAAUUUUUAAAGUUGAUUGACCAAAACAGGAACUUUUAGGUGAUAGUUUACACUAGAAUUAAUAAAACAAUGCCCCAACUCUAACAAAUAGAAGUCCUUUGAAAAAAAGCACACGACAUUCAAGCUAUACCAGGAAAACAGAGUAAAGCAUUCUUCGAUGUUAAAGCCUGCCUCUAAAUGUAGAAAAACAUUAACUAUAAAUUGGAAUAAAACAAGCAAUUAUGGUUGAAAGUUCAACUUUCGAAACAGCAGCCGUGAUCAAAGACAGGAGCAGAUGAGCGCUAUGAUUAAAUACUUAUUAGAUGUCAGACACUGUCAUGGUGAGAGUAGAAUGCAAUCUAUGCACAUCGACAUCCCUUACAAGCAAUGCAAACGGAUAACCUAUCUUCAUCACCUGUGCCACUAGAGAGAAGUAAAGCACACACUAUAUCCUCGGGUCAAUAGACUUUGGUGCAAGUGCUGUAUGCUUUUCUUAAAAAGAGAAAGAACGAAAGUUUUGUUUGUAUACCACAAAAGGCUCUUCAUCAUCUUUUGGCAUCUUGAGAAGGUCCUCCAAUCCGGUUCUCACCCUUUGAUCCUUCCAGGAAGCAUCAGAAUCUGGUGACACACUUCUUGCAUUGCUAGGAUCAGCAUUUGGUAUUUGUCCCAAUAGACUUUGUCAAAGUGCUGUAUGCUUUUCUUAAAAAGCGAAAAAGAAUAGAAGUUUUGUUUGUAUACCACAAAAGGCUCGUCAUCUUUUGGCAUCUUGAGAAGGUCCUCCAAUCUGGUUCUCACCCUUUUGAUCCUUCCGGGAAGCAUCAGAAUCUGGUGAUACACUUCUUGCAUUGCUAGGAUCAGCGUUUGGUAUUUGUCCGGUAGAUUUUUGUUUGAUAGCCUUGUCUUGCACCACAGCAGAACUGCUA